GUGCCGCGGGGAAGGGCCGGGGGCGCAGUGCAGGCAGCUGUGUCAAUCGUUUCCCCUCCUGGGACCCGCCGGUGUCUAGGGACGGCGGGUUGUGCAGCUGCGCCGGGCCUGCUGGGGCCGCCGCCCGGGAGCAGGGAGGAGGGGAGCUCGGGGCUCGGAGCCGCCCUCGACCCUGCCUGGCCGGCGCGCGCCCGGCGCAGGUACCGACGGCAGGGACCCGGAGGCCCGGGGUGCUGGGCAUCUGACGGCGGUGGCCGCGAGCGACGUCAGCCCCGGCUCUUGAAUGUGCCCCGUACAACCCCUGGGCCCUUACCUUCGCAGUUCUUCCUUGUGUCCCGCACCAGUGAAAAGUGACCCCGAGAAUACUGGAUGGAUAAUUGGAAUAUGUUCUCCAGAGAUGGUGACAUCCUUCAGGGAAUAAACUGCUGUCUAGGUAGUUGAAAGACAAAGCAAGGGAAUUUCCUUGGGGACAUGUUGCCUGACAAGGAUUGGUACCCAGCAACCUCUAAGAGGACGCCUGCCACAGCAUGGCUUGCCAAGCAGUGAGUAGGUCCACACCUGGGAUCCGAACUGGCAAACCCCGGGCCACCGAAGCAGAAUGUGCGAACCUAACCACUGUGCAACCAGACCGGCCUCCAGUGAUAUAGUCCUGAACCUGAGCCUUAAGAAACCUUGAAGGCUUCCAUGGUCUCUCUGGGAUCCCUGCCUCCACUGUGAGAACAGGCCUGGGCUAGCCUGUUGGAAGAUGAGAAGCCACAUGGAAAAGGGCUGAGGUCAUCCUACACCACUCAACAGCCAGCAGACCCCAAACAUGCAAGCCCAGCCAGGAUCAGCACAGCCACCUGCCUGACCUGCAGCCGCCCACAGAUGCAGGAGCCCACCUGCAACCAGAAGAACCGCCCAGCUAACUUGUAAACUCAUGAACAAUAAUAACUAGUUACUAUGUUCAGCUUCUGACUUGUGGAAUGGUUUAGUGUAUACAGCAUUAUUGUGGCAAUAGAUAAUUGAUGGUUAAUGCCUCCUAUCUGGGUCUCAGCCUCAGAGAGGCUUUCCUAACUCCCCAGGCCAUCUAAGUCAGCUUCGCAAUCCCUCAAAUACCGAUGUAUUAUUUUCUCAAUAACACUCUCCAAAAUUAUUUACCUCUUUAUUACCUGUUUCCCACACUAGACUGUCAACUCAGUGAAGGCAGACACCUUGCCCAUCCUGUUCCCUGUUCUCUCCUUGACACCCAGCACAAUACUGCACUGUCCAGCUAUGUGUGUCCACUGAGUGCUGGAAAUAGGGCUAGUCCAAUAUGAGAUGUCCUGAAAAUAUAAUAUACACACUGAAUUUCAAAAGGCUUAGUACCAAAGAAAAAGAAUAUAAAGUAUCUCAAGAAUUUUUCUAGUGACUAAAUGUUAAAAUAAUAUUUUGACUAUAUUAAGUACAGUAUAUUAUUAAGAUUAAUUUCAUCUGUUUCUUUUUACCUCCUUAAAUGUGGCUCCUAGAAAAAGUACAUUUGUGGCUUGCAUUAUUUUUCUAUUGGACAGC
rnacentral:lncRNA from 1 species